AACUAUCAUAAAAUAAUCUUAAGUUAUAAUUAAGUAAUUUUUUCCUAAUCAUUAACUUUAAUUUAUAUCAGUCAUAACUUCAAAAGAAUAAUUCAUCAUGUAAGGAUCAGUAAAUUCAGAUUUUUAAGAAAGAUGACAGGUGUGUAUGGAAAAGAGUAACAGUUAUAUGAGUUAAAAAUUUAAAAAACGUAAACACUCUCUCUGCAUGCACCCUCUCACUUUACUGAAUUUCUUUCUCUUUAGCUCUCCAAAAUCUUAUCUUGCAGCUGCUCAUUUUCAUUCCAAUCCUCUUCUAUUUCUUUCAAAUAGAUUGUGCUUGAAGCAUGAUAAUCUUCCAUCGGUUCAGUCCAGUGGUUACUCCUCGUCUGGUAAGUGUUUCCUUUUCCUUUUCCCUUUCCUUCAAAUUAGGAUGGGGGAUCAUGUAAUGGUUCUGUUGCAUGUAACCCUUUUUUGUCCCUUUUCCUGUACUGACUUCAAUCAGAUUCUAAAAAUUUAAUUCUAUCACCUAAUGGUGAUUUAUAGGGUAGUAUGGGUAGUAUAAAGUUCCUGGAAGCAUAAAGGUGUGCUGGAAAUUCUCUUGAGUUCAAGUGCUGAAACCUAAGGUAAGGGAAGUUAGGCCUCUUCUCUGUUUUUGAUAAAUUUUUGGUUGCAUGAUUUGUAAAUUUUGUUUGAAAGGUGUAAAAUGAAGUGUGUGUGUGUGAACUUUGAUGUAGAUCUUGUUACUGUUGAGUAAAACCCGAUGAAUUAGAGAUGUGUCUGUUGAAUGGAUUUUCGUAUGAUAUUUUAAAUGGUGGUUUCGAAACUGUUACAAGUGAAUUUCUGUAGUGUGAUGGAAUUAUUGAGAUGUUAGAAACUCUUAUGAUGUGGCCUGUUAGACAGGAAGUUGAAUAAAUUAGAUGUCUUAAGGCAAAAUUGAGGGAAGUGGCAUAAUGGUUUUUAGAUCUUGUGGUUGUGGUCUGUCUUAGACCAUUGGGAGAUUAUAACUAAGUUAUUCCAUGGCUUAAAAUAGUUUCUAGGUAGUAAAAUUAGAAUUUUGACAUCUUAGCUGAUAAAAAUGUAGAUGAUUGGAAAAUCAGUUCAGUUAUUAUAAUGAUAGAGUCCAAAUUCAAGGAAUUAGACUAGUGAUUUUUAGAGUUAGAGGUUAGGAUCUGGUCUAGGCAAUUAGAGUCACUUAGUUAAAUCAAAUAUGACUUAUUAGUAGCAUCAAAAUGGCCUGAAACACUUUCCAAAUGGUAAAUCUGAAAUUGAACCUUUUAGUAACUAAAAUUGAAACUUUAGAUCCUAAAUUGAUGCAUAAUUACUAGAGAUUGAUGUUAGGAGUGUGUGUGAAUCUUUAGACAAGUUUAAUUCAACCUAUACUUCGAAUUUAGAGUGUUAGAAAUUCACCAAAUGGCCUAGAGUAAGUUUUAGGUGUGUGAGUUCCUCAAAUCUGCAGAAUUUCGCGCUGCAGAUUGUGCAGAGUCGCCUAGCGCACUCUGCGAGGGGCUUCUGUCAGGAAAAAUUCGAACAGCGCACCAUAGGGUGUGCACUCAGCGAAUUUUCUGCGACAGAUUGAGUAUUUUUAAUGAUUUUGACGUUUUGGGGGUUCCGGACGUCCGUUUUGGACGUUCUUUAGGUCGUUCUGGGGGUUUUUGACCCUUCCGGAUCCAUUGGUGAGAGUCUCCAAGCUUUUUAAAUUAAGUAAGUGUUGGUAAUAAAAUGCUAUAAAGAAAUUUAUAUUAAUAAAUGAUGUUUCUGCGAAAGUAUGAUUAAUGGACGUAAUUCCAUGAUCCUCAAGGGAGGUUACAUGGUGGUGCCCUAUGGUUUGUUGUGAUUGACCGUAUGAAUGGUCGGAGUUCCAAAUGGGGUUUAUCCUGACAUUCUAAUGACCAUCCAUGCUCAAUUAGAGAGUGAUGAGUCAUGUGGUGAGAAUAGCAGGAGGUCCUAGUAAUAGGUGCUACGUGGAGGCCUAUUAUUCGGUAAAAGGCUUACACUUGUGUGUGGUCGGAUGAAACCCCUUGGCAAUGGCUUUGCAAAGCAGUAGGGCCACAACAAGUGCACAAACCCCUAGAACUCGACAUUUCAUACUAGUCCGGAUGGUCAAAUCACGCGGUCGGUCAUUGGUAUCAACAAAAUGCAUUUGGUCUUAGUUUGUAUUGUGUUAUGGUUUUUGCAUGCUGUGUGUGAUUGUAUAACAUGAUAGUUAGUUCCAUUUAAUGUAUAAUUUGAUAGCAUGUUUACUGGAUUGAUUGUGUGCAUGUUGUUAUGUAUAUGUUAGUUUAUAUUUGGACUUAUCUUACAUGUUUUUCAACCUAACUUUGCAUUUGUAUGUGUUGUAUGUGUUUGCCUUCUUCCUUGCGAUGAUCAUCCAAUCUUUUGGAUGUGAGCAGAGGGAGAGGAUGUUCUCCUGGAGCAAGCUUUGGAGCCAGAGGAUCCAGUCACUACCUCUUAAAACUCUUUCUAUUAGACUCCUUUCUAUAUUUUGAAAAACUUUGUAGCUUAUAUACAACACCUAGUUUAUAUUAUUACUCUUAGAUCUUUUCCAUUAUUUUAAGAGACUCCUUAUGUACUUAAAGUUUUUAAUUUUAUAACCCCUUCGAAUGACUGUAAAUAUUAUGACUUUAAGUAUUUUCUUAAACUCUUUUACCUUAUUAUAAUGUUACAUCCUGA
rnacentral:lncRNA from 1 species